rnacentral:rRNA from 1 species
CUGGCUCAGGACGAACGCUGGCGGCGUGCCUAAUACAUGCAAGUCGAACGGUCUUUCUAUGGAAGCUUGCUUCCACUGAGAAGAUAGUGGCGAACGGGUGAGUAACACGUGGGUAACCUGCCCAUAAGAGGGGGAUAACAUCCGGAAACGGGUGCUAAUACCGCAUAGUUUUCUUGAUCGCAUGAUCGGGAAAGGAAAGACGGCCUUUGUGCUGUCGCUUAUGGAUGGACCCGCGGCGUAUUAGUUAGUUGGUGAGGUAACGGCUCACCAAGACGAUGAUACGUAGCCGACCUGAGAGGGUGAUCGGCCACAUUGGGACUGAGACACGGCCCAAACUCCUACGGGAGGCAGCAGUAGGGAAUCUUCCGCAAUGGACGAAAGUCUGACGGAGCAACGCCGCGUGAGUGAAGAAAAGGUUUUCGGAUCGUAAAACUCUGUUGUCAGAGAAGAACAAGUUGGAGAGUAACUGCUCCAGCCUUGACGGUAUCUGACCAGAAAGCCACGGCUAACUACGUGCCAGCCGCAGC